GCCUUCGUGGUGUAAUUGGAAGCACACUGGACGCGUAUUCGAGAGGUCCAGGGUUCGAGUCCCGGCGAGGGCA
rnacentral:tRNA from 1 species